GGGGGCUGUGGCUCAGUGGUAAAGCAUCUGCUUGACAUGCAGAAAAUCACGGGUUCAAUCCCUGUCAUCUCCA